rnacentral:lncRNA from 1 species
UAAGGCAGUUAGAUGGUUAUAAAUAGGGAGUUGAGGAGGGAAGAAAGGCAUGAAGAAUUUGGUGAAGAAAUAAGGCUGCAACAUUCCUUGAAAGAGAGAAAGGACAGAGGGUUGGGGUUCUUUUACUUCUUUUAUAUUGUGAUUCCUGUUGAAGGUAUCAAUAAAAUAGAAAUACUAUAUCAGUGUUCUAUCACAUACAUGUAAACAUUUCACAAAUAAAAGUACCAAAUAAAUUUAUCAGAAUUUUUGUCACCUAGAUUCCGAGUCAUCUACAUGUUUGUUUAUAUAUGUAGCAGCAUCUAAGAGGCCCAACUAAUGGCUAAAAGAAAAGCAAGAAUGAUAUGUUUAAAUGACUAUCCACAUUCCACAAUAUAUAAUCUUUCAUUCCUUUGAUAAAAAUAUUCAUGCUUGAUAGAAAUAGAUUCUUGAAGCAUUAAUAAAAUGAGGAACAAACCAGAAACUAUCCACGCCACAUGCAAUAUUUAAUUGAAAUACCACUUUUUUGAUGAAUUUUCUUUAGAUAUUAUAAUAAAUUUAUCUUCGCUCAACUUAAACUUGUGGGUGGAUUGGUGAUUUAAGAAUUUUAUAUAUGGAUGCAUAUGUUGAUGGUAGGGAUGUAAGAAUAACCCGACGAAUCCGGACUAUAUGGGUUGGGUUGGGUUGAAAAUUUUGGUAUUUUUUGGGUUGGGAUGGGUCUCGUAUUAUUAUUUAUUUAAUAUUUAUGGAUUAUGUUUGUAAUGUUGAACUUUUAUGGAUAUUUGAAACUUUGAAUUUAUGAAUGUUCCAAUUUUUGGAGGUGUGUAUUUAUCAAUAUGAUAGGUAUAACAAUUUUAAAUUUUAUAAACAUUAGAAAUGAAAAGAAAAAACAAUACAACCUAACAACCCAACUCAUAUUUUAAGGGUAGGGUUGGGUUGGGUUGAGAAUAUUAUUCGGGUUGCCAACCCAACCAACUUGAAAAUAUGGAUUGGGUUGGGUUUCCAACCCGUUUACACCCCUAGUAGGUGGCGUGAAAAAGAACAUGCAUAUCACAUAUUGGUGAUGUCAUUUUCAAUAAUAUGAAGCUCUUUCUUUUUGUUACCUUCCUAUAAAAUCUCUUUACCUUACGUUUUCUGCUUCCCUAUCAGCUCAGAAAUCUCCUCGUAAACUCCUUCAGAUUGCUUAUAAUUUGAGUAUGGAAAUCUCAGGAGCCCAUUUCUUUGCACCUGAAAAAUAUGGCAUGAUCCAAAAUCCCAAUAUCAAUGAAUUAUUGUCUUGUAUUCCUGUUAACUCAAUCUCUACUUCUGAUGAUGGUGAUGAUCAGAACCACAAACCUGGAAUAGUCAUCGAUGAGAGGAAGCAAAGGAGAAUGAUAUCGAAUUGGGAAUCGGCACGAAGGUCCCGAAUGAGGAAACAGAAGCAUCUUGAUGAACUUUGGUCAGUGGUACUUCAUCUUCGUACAGAGAAUCAUAGUCUCAUGGAGAAGUUGAAUCAGUUAACAGAUUCUGAACAACAGCUUCUUCAAGAGAACGUCAAGCUCAAAGAAGAAGCAUUGAAUUUACAUCGGAUGAUCACUGAUAUUCAAAUGGGCAGUCCUUACACAACUCACUUGAGAGAGCUGGAGGAAGCCCCCUGCAAUACAUUUGUUAUCAUGGCUGAAUCCUCAAGCCAAUCUGAUGAGUAGAGAAGUUACCUUCCACUGUUUCACUAAGAUCAUAGCUAUUUCCUCACAUAUUCUCUUCCAGUUCUGUUUUAGAAUGCUUGUAAUAAGCCUCUACCCUUUAGUCGGCAGACUCACCAGUAUAAAAUGAAAAAAUUAUUAAUUUAUACCUUUAAAAAGUAUCAACUUAAAUCCUAAACUAAUAAUCAUGUGAAUUUACACUAUCCAUUACAUUCAGUUUGAAAAACCUCGCAUAAAACUUAUAGUUGUAUCAAUUAAAGCCCUGAAAUUGACAUUUGAAGAAGUCUAACACACAUUUGAAAAUUAAAGCAUAGUUUAUUUUCAGAAGUAAAUCGUAACAAAGGGAUUAAAAUGAUGGACUUAUCAAAACUUUAACAGUUUAAUUAACGAAAAAUUUUAAGUUUCAUAUCAUAUUUGUCAAACUAAACCUGGAGGACAUAAGAUAUAAAUUGAUAACACUUUCCAAAGCUUAAAUCGAUACAGUUAUUAGUUCAGAUUCAAGGUUUAAACUGAUACAGAAAGUUGGUAUAAAUUGAUAUUUAACCAACCAAUAGACUUCUAAAAUCUGCUCAAUAAACACCAUGGUGCUCUCUGGGGACUUUUCUCAAACACCUAGUGGGCCAAAGCAGUUGAAAACUACUCAAUAGAUUAAUGAAGUAACAGGAAAGCAACUAAUCAAAUGAAGCCAGAGUUGUGUAGCAAGUCCAGUGAAAACAAGUAUACCUUCCAAGAACAUAGAAAAGUAAGCACCAAUAACACAAAAUGGUGGUGGAAGUGGUGGGGACAGUGGCAAAAUAUCUACCAAGUAAUAUAAAAGUAAAGUGGCAAAAACAUGAAAAAAGAAGUCAUAUAGACAAACCCAUCUGCAAUUGAACUCGAAUGAUUUUCUCCUUUUUACCUGAGCAUCAAAUUCCUUGCUUCCUUCAACUUGGUUUUAGUUCAGCCAAGUCCAUCGCUAUCCGCAAAUCUUCAAUUGGGAUUCUACAAAAUCGAAAUUGGGAACAUAUUCACAGUUGACGAUUCGUUUUGAUUCUUCUUUCAUACGUGAGUGAAUAUGAAUUUCAGACACCAUUUUGCAAGCAAAAACUGCCCAACUACCCCAAAUCCUAAUGUGUAGCUGGGUAUCUAACAAAGUAGUAGCUUUAUUGUUGGGGAUUUGGAGCCCUUUUGGUUGCGAUUGAUUCCAAUUGAUAGCGAUUUCUCGUUGGGUGGAUUAAAGUUUGUUUGAGAAUAAUUUUGCAGCACUUUAAUGCGUGUGUUAAACAGAUGUGAAGGUGGGAAUUUUGAGAAGAGAAUUAAUUCCGAAACUAGAGAUGAUCACGAGCCCGUCGGGAAAUGACGUUCUAUUCCGGCAAAUUCCUAUUCUUACCUACCAAAGGAACCACAAUACUUACAAAAUAUCACCUUUCUUUAUCUCUACUAUUUUAUUAUAUUU